rnacentral:rRNA from 1 species
ACUCCUACGGGAGGCAGCAGUGGGGAAUAUUGCACAAUGGGCGCAAGCCUGAUGCAGCCAUGCCGCGUGUAUGAAGAAGGCCUUCGGGUUGUAAAGUACUUUCAGCAGUGAGGAAGGUGGGUAUGUUAAUAGCAUACUCAUUUGACGUUAGCUGCAGAAGAAGCACCGGCUAACUCCGUGCCAGCAGCCGCGGUAAUACGGAGGGUGCGAGCGUUAAUCGGAAUUACUGGGCGUAAAGCGCAUGCAGGUGGUUUGUUAAGUCAGAUGUGAAAGCCCGGGGCUCAACCUCGGAAUUGCAUUUGAAACUGGCAAACUAGAGUACUGUAGAGGGGGGUAGAAUUUCAGGUGUAGCGGUGAAAUGCGUAGAGAUCUGAAGGAAUACCGGUGCGAAGGCGGCCCCCUGGACAGAUACUGACACUCAGAUGCGAAAGCGUGGGGAGCAAACAGGAUUAGAUACCCUGGUAGCCACUGC